UUGACUUCUAACACUGUACACAUCAAUCGCGUUUGUGAGGUUUGCAUGAAGAAAAAAUGAAGGUUUUGCGUGAAGGACACUUGUUAUCGAUAACAUUGGGAUUAACGUGCAAAUGAAAAUCACAAAGAAGUGAAAUUAAUACUUGAUAAUUAUCUUCUCUUGGACAAGGAUGUUAUUACCAAUAUUAUAAAAUGAUUCGGCCAUUUUUUGCAUGCGAGCGUCAAUAUCAAAUCAACGUCAACCUUGUCAUCAACGCUUGCCGUUCAAGAAAGGAGGGUGAUGUCGUCUGACGGCAAAACACGGAUACACCAAUACAUAGGAUAUGGAGCGGACAUCCUAGGCGGUAAUAUUUAUGCAAAAAGCGGUGCGAUAUACAGAGAAAAGGUGAUGGCCAAGAGUGAAAAGUAAGGCGCGAAACGGCUGUGCUUUGUAACCCAAUGGAAAACGAAGAGAAGUGAAAGUACAAUUCAUUUAAA